rnacentral:rRNA from 1 species
UGUCAUGCCAAUGGCACUGCCCGGUAGCUAAAUGCGGAAGAGAUAAGUGCUGAAAGCAUCUAAGCACGAAACUUGCCCCGAGAUGAGUUCUCCCUGACUCCUUGAGAGUCCUGAAGGAACGUUGAAGACGACGACGUUGAUAGGCCGGGUGUGUAAGCGCAGCGAUGCGUUGAGCUAACCGGUACUAAUGAACCGUGAGGCUUAACCUUACAACGCCGAAGGUGUUU